rnacentral:rRNA from 1 species
UACGUAGGGGGCUAGCGUUGUCCGGAUUUAUUGGGCGUAAAGAGCGUGUAGGCGGCCUGGUAGGUCUGCUGUGAAAACUCGAGGCUCAACCUCGAGCUGUCGGCGGAAACCACUUGGCUAGAGUCCGGAAGAGGAGAGUGGAGUUCCUGGUGUAGCGGUGAAAUGCGCAGAUAUCAGGAAGAACACCAAUGGCGAAGGCAGCUCUCUGGGACGGUACUGACGCUGAGACGCGAAAGCGUGGGGAGCGAACAGG